CAGGGGACAAGGUGAAGCUACCACCACCUAUCCUAUCAGGGGACAAGGUGAAGCUACCACCACCUAUCCUAUCAGGGGACAAGGUGAAGCUACCACCACCUAUCCUGUCAGGGGACAAGGUGAAGCUACCACCACCUAUCCUAUCAGGGGACAAGGUGAAGCUACCACCACCUAUCCUGUCAGGGGACAAGGUGAAGCUACCACCACCUAUCCUAUCAGGGGACAAGGUGAAGCUACCACCACCUAUCCUAUCAGGGGACAAGGUGAAGCUACCACCACCUAUCCUAUCAGGGGACAAGGUGAAGCUACCACCUAUCCUACAGGGGACAAGGUGAAGCUACCACCACCUAUCCUAUCAGGGGACAAGGUGAAGCUACCACCACCUAUCCUAUCAGGGGACAAGGUGAAGCUACCACCACCUAUCCUAUCAGGGGACAAGGUGAAGCUACCACCACCUAUCCUAUCAGGGGACAAGGUGAAGCUACCACCACCUAUCCUACC